rnacentral:rRNA from 1 species
CCAGUCGGCGGGGAGAGAAGACGGUGAACGGACCUUCGGGUUAGUGGCGGACGGCUGAGUAACGCGUAGGUAACCUGUCCAGUGGUGGGGGAUAACCCUUCGAAAGAAGGGCUAAUACCGCAUGAGCUUCCGGUGUGCGAACCACCGGAAGGAAAGUCGCAAGACGCCGCUGGAGGGGCCUGCGUCCUAUCAGGUAGUUGGUGGGGUAACGGCUCACCAAGCCUGCGACGGGUAGCUGGUCUGAGAGGACGACCAGCCAGAAGGGGACUGAGACACGGCCCCUACUCCUACGGGAGGCAGCAGCGAGGAAUCUUGGGCAAUGGGUGAAAGCCUGACCCAGCGACGCCGCGUGGGGGAAGAAGGCCUUCAGGUCGUAAACCCCUUUUGUCAGGGAAGAAGUUCUGACGGUACCCGACGAAGAAGCCACGGCUAACUACGUGCCAGCAGCCGCGGUAAUACGUAGGUGGCGAGCGUUGUCCGGAUUUACUGGGCGUAAAGGGCCUGUAGGCGGUCCGUUAAGUCCGGUGUGAAAUCUCCCGGCUCAACUGGGAGGGGUCAUCGGAUACUGGCGGACUUGAGGGAGGCAGAGGAAAGCGGAAUUCCCGGUGUACCGGUGAAAUGCGUAGAUAUCGGGAGGAACACCAGUGGCGAAGGCGGCUUUCUGGGCCUUUCCUGACGCUGAGGGGCGAAAGCGUGAGGAGCAGACCGGAUUAGAUACCCAGGUAGUCCACGCCCUAAACGGUGGAUGCUAGGUGUGGGGGGUGUCGACUUCCUCCGUGCCACACCUAAGCCUUUAAGCAUCUUGCCUGGAAAGUACAGCCGCCACGCUAAAACUCGUAUGAAUUGACGGGG